rfam:Nocardia brasiliensis ATCC 700358, complete genome.
GUCGGUCUUCGGUAGUGGCCUCCCGGCAGGGGAUAGACCGCCGGCGGGCUUCGAUCGAUGACCGCC